rnacentral:rRNA from 1 species
GAUGAACGCUAGCGGCAGGCCUAACACAUGCAAGCCGAGGGGCAGCACAUAAAGUGGUUUACUACUUUUGGUGGCGACCGGCGGACGGGUGCGUAACGCGUAUGCAACCUGCCUCCAACAGGGGGAUAACGGAGAGAAAUUUCCACUAAUACCCCAUAAUAUCAGAAUCGGCAUCGGUUUUGGUUGAAAACUCCGGUGGUUGGAGAUGGGCAUGCGUUGUAUUAGAUAGUUGGUGAGGUAACGGCUCACCAAGCCAACGAUACAUAGGGGGACUGGGAGGGUAGCCCCCCACACUGGUACUGAGACACGGACCAGGCUCCUACGGGAGGCAGCAGUGAGGAAGAUUGGUCAAUGGGGGCAACCCUGAACCAGCCAUGCCGCGUGCAGGAAGACGGCUCUAUGAGUUGUAAACUGCUUUUACAAGGGGAUAAAUCGGUGUACGUGUACACCGUUGAAGGUACCUUGGGAAUAAGGAUCGGCUAACUCCGUGCCAGCAGCCGCCGUAA